GAUUAAGUUAUUAAGGGCGCACGGUGGAUGCCUUGGCACUAGAAGCCGAUGAAGGACGUUACUAACGACGAUAUGCUUUGGGGAGCUGUAAGUAAGCUUUGAUCCAGAGAUUUCCGAAUGGGGAAACCCAGCAUGAGUUAUGUCAUGUUAUCGAUAUGUGAAUACAUAGCAUAUCAGAAGGCACACCCGGAGAACUGAAACAUCUUAGUACCCGGAGGAAGAGAAAGAAAAUUCGAUUCCCUUAGUAGCGGCGAGCGAAACGGGAAGAGCCCAAACCAACAAGCUUGCUUGUUGGGGUUGUAGGACACUCUAUACGGAGUUACAAAGGACGACAUUAGACGAAUCAUCUGGAAAGAUGAAUCAAAGAAGGUAAUAAUCCUGUAGUCGAAAAUGUUGUCUCUCUUGAGUGGAUCCUGAGUACGACGGAGCACGUGAAAUUCCGUCGGAAUCUGGGAGGACCAUCUCCUAAGGCUAAAUACUCUCUAGUGACCGAUAGUGAACCAGUACCGUGAGGGAAAGGUGAAAAGCACCCCGGAAGGGGAGUGAAAUAGAACCUGAAACCGUGUGCUUACAAGUAGUCAGAGCCCGUUAAUGGGUGAUGGCGUGCCUUUUGUAGAAUGAACCGGCGAGUUACGAUUUGAUGCAAGGUUAAGCAGUAAAUGUGGAGCCGUAGCGAAAGCGAGUCUGAAUAGGGCGUUUAGUAUUUGGUCGUAGACCCGAAACCAGGUGAUCUACCCUUGGUCAGGUUGAAGUUCAGGUAACACUGAAUGGAGGACCGAACCGACUUACGUUGAAAAGUGAGCGGAUGAACUGAGGGUAGCGGAGAAAUUCCAAUCGAACCUGGAGAUAGCUGGUUCUCUCCGAAAUAGCUUUAGGGCUAGCCUCAAGUGAUGAUUAUUGGAGGUAGAGCACUGUUUGGACGAGGGGCCCCUCUCGGGUUACCGAAUUCAGACAAACUCCGAAUGCCAAUUAAUUUAACUUGGGAGUCAGAACAUGGGUGAUAAGGUCCGUGUUCGAAAGGGAAACAGCCCAGACCACCAGCUAAGGUCCCAAAAUAUAUGUUAAGUGGAAAAGGAUGUGGCGUUGCCCAGACAACUAGGAUGUUGGCUUAGAAGCAGCCAUCAUUUAAAGAGUGCGUAAUAGCUCACUAGUCGAGUGACACUGCGCCGAAAAUGUACCGGGGCUAAACAUAUUACCGAAGCUGUGGAUUGUCCUUUGGACAAUGGUAGGAGAGCGUUCUAAGGGCGUUGAAGCAUGAUCGUAAGGACAUGUGGAGCGCUUAGAAGUGAGAAUGCCGGUGUGAGUAGCGAAAGACGGGUGAGAAUCCCGUCCACCGAUUGACUAAGGUUUCCAGAGGAAGGCUCGUCCGCUCUGGGUUAGUCGGGUCCUAAGCUGAGGCCGACAGGCGUAGGCGAUGGAUAACAGGUUGAUAUUCCUGUACCACCUAUAAUCGUUUUAAUCGAUGGGGGGACGCAGUAGGAUAGGCGAAGCGUGCGAUUGGAUUGCACGUCUAAGCAGUAAGGCUGAGUAUUAGGCNNNNNNNNNNNNNNNNNNNNNNNNNNNNNNNNNNNNNNNNNNNNNNNNNNNNNNNNNNNNNNNNNNNNNNNNNNNNNNNNNNNNNNNNNNNNNNNNNNAUUAAGGCUGAGCUGUGAUGGGGAGAAGACAUUGUGUCUUCGAGUCGUUGAUUUCACACUGCCGAGAAAAGCCUCUAGAUAGAAAAUAGGUGCCCGUACCGCAAACCGACACAGGUAGUCAAGAUGAGAAUUCUAAGGUGAGCGAGCGAACUCUCGUUAAGGAACUCGGCAAAAUGACCCCGUAACUUCGGGAGAAGGGGUGCUCUUUAGGGUUAACGCCCAGAAGAGCCGCAGUGAAUAGGCCCAAGCGACUGUUUAUCAAAAACACAGGUCUCUGCUAAACCGUAAGGUGAUGUAUAGGGGCUGACGCCUGCCCGGUGCUGGAAGGUUAAGAGGAGUGGUUAGCUUCUGCGAAGCUACGAAUCGAAGCCCCAGUAAACGGCGGCCGUAACUAUAACGGUCCUAAGGUAGCGAAAUUCCUUGUCGGGUAAGUUCCGACCCGCACGAAAGGCGUAACGAUUUGGGCACUGUCUCAACGAGAGACUCGGUGAAAUCAUAGUACCUGUGAAGAUGCAGGUUACCCGCGACAGGACGGAAAGACCCCGUGGAGCUUUACUGUAGCCUGAUAUUGAAAUUCGGCACAGCUUGUACAGGAUAGGUAGGAGCCUUUGAAACGUGAGCGCUAGCUUACGUGGAGGCGCUGGUGGGAUACUACCCUAGCUGUGUUGGCUUUCUAACCCGCACCACUUAUCGUGGUGGGAGACAGUGUCAGGCGGGCAGUUUGACUGGGGCGGUCGCCUCCUAAAAGGUAACGGAGGCGCUCAAAGGUUCCCUCAGAAUGGUUGGAAAUCAUUCAUAGAGUGUAAAGGCAUAAGGGAGCUUGACUGCGAGACCUACAAGUCGAGCAGGGUCGAAAGACGGACUUAGUGAUCCGGUGGUUCCGCAUGGAAGGGCCAUCGCUCAACGGAUAAAAGCUACCCCGGGGAUAACAGGCUUAUCUCCCCCAAGAGUUCACAUCGACGGGGAGGUUUGGCACCUCGAUGUCGGCUCAUCGCAUCCUGGGGCUGUAGUCGGUCCCAAGGGUUGGGCUGUUCGCCCAUUAAAGCGGUACGCGAGCUGGGUUCAGAACGUCGUGAGACAGUUCGGUCCCUAUCCGUCGUGGGCGUAGGAAAUUUGAGAGGAGCUGUCCUUAGUACGAGAGGACCGGGAUGGACAUACCUCUGGUGUACCAGUUGUCGUGCCAACGGCAUAGCUGGGUAGCUAUGUGUGGACGGGAUAAGUGCUGAAAGCAUCUAAGCAUGAAGCCCCCCUCAAGAUGAGAUUUCCCAACUUCGGUUAUAAGAUCCCUCAAAGAUGAUGAGGUUAAUAGGUUCGAGGUGGAAGCAUGGUGACAUGUGGAGCUGACGAAUACUAAUCGAUCGAAGACUUAAUCAA
rnacentral:rRNA from 1 species